GAUGAACGCUGGCGGCGUGCCUAAUACAUGCAAGUCGAGCGAACGGACGAGAAGCUUGCUUCUCUGAUGUUAGCGGCGGACGGGUGAGUAACACGUGGAUAACCUACCUAUAAGACUGGGAUAACUUCGGGAAACCGGAGCUGAUACCGGAUAAUAUUUUGAACCGCAUGGUUCAAAAGUGAAAGACGGUCUUGCUGUCACUUAUAGAUGGAUCCGCGCUGCAUUAGCUAGUUGGUAAGGUAACGGCUUACCAAGGCAACGAUGCAUAGCCGACCUGAGAGGGUGAUCGGCCACACUGGAACUGAGACACGGUCCAGACUCCUACGGGAGGCAGCAGUAGGGAAUCUUCCGCAAUGGGCGAAAGCCUGACGGAGCAACGCCGCGUGAGUGAUGAAGGUCUUCGGAUCGUAAAACUCUGUUAUUAGGGAAGAACAUAUGUGUAAGUAACUGUGCACAUCUUGACGGUACCUAAUCAGAAAGCCACGGCUAACUACGUGCCAGCAGCCGCGGUAAUACGUAGGUGGCAAGCGUUAUCCGGAAUUAUUGGGCGUAAAGCGCGCGUAGGCGGUUUUUUAAGUCUGAUGUGAAAGCCCACGGCUCAACCGUGGAGGGUCAUUGGAAACUGGAAAACUUGAGUGCAGAAGAGGAAAGUGGAAUUCCAUGUGUAGCGGUGAAAUGCGCAGAGAUAUGGAGGAACACCAGUGGCGAAGGCGACUUUCUGGUCUGUAACUGACGCUGAUGUGCGAAAGCGUGGGGAUCAAACAGGAUUAGAUACCCUGGUAGUCCACGCCGUAAACGAUGAGUGCUAAGUGUUAGGGGGUUUCCGCCCCUUAGUGCUGCAGCUAACGCAUUAAGCACUCCGCCUGGGGAGUACGACCGCAAGGUUGAAACUCAAAGGAAUUGACGGGGACCCGCACAAGCGGUGGAGCAUGUGGUUUAAUUCGAAGCAACGCGAAGAACCUUACCAAAUCUUGACAUCCUUUGACAACUCUAGAGAUAGAGCCUUCCCCUUCGGGGGACAAAGUGACAGGUGGUGCAUGGUUGUCGUCAGCUCGUGUCGUGAGAUGUUGGGUUAAGUCCCGCAACGAGCGCAACCCUUAAGCUUAGUUGCCAUCAUUAAGUUGGGCACUCUAAGUUGACUGCCGGUGACAAACCGGAGGAAGGUGGGGAGGCCGUCAAAUCAUCAUGCCCCUUUAUGAUUUGGGCUACACACGUGCUACAAUGGACAAUACAAAGGGCAGCGAAAACCGCGAGGUCAAGCAAAUCCCAUAAAGUUGUUCUCAGUUCGGAUUGUAGUCUGCAACUCGACUACAUGAGUCAAAGUGCGCUAGUCAUCGUAGAUCAGCAAGGUACGGUGCCUUAAAGCGUGGGUCU
rnacentral:rRNA from 1 species